CGCUGCGUCCGUCCAUGUUUUGCUCCAGCCUGUAAGGAGAGAGCCCCGGUGUGUUUCUGCUGGGAUUAUAAUACACUGGGCAUCAGUCACUGCCAUUUUGUAGUUUCAGUGGGUUUUUACACUACUGGUAGAGUACAAAUGUGAGACUGCUCACGUUACGUCAUUUGGGACGGCGUGGUUCUGCAGCUCGGUGUGCAUAAAAUCAGCGUGCUGCUGAGGGAGGACCGUGGGAGCUGCUCCUUCCGACCAGAGAAUGCCGUCUCUGUCGGAGCAGCUGCAGGAGGUGCGGAGUCGGGCUGAAGUGUGCCUGUACUCUGGAGGCAGGGUGGUGGAGGUGCGGGCCGGGGUAAUGGCUAUGGCUAAUCUGCCUUUACCGCCCUGCUCCAAAUACCGCCACAUCGCUGCAGAAACCAUGGUCAUAGAAAACAGCUUUGGCAGCAACAGGAAGGAGACCCUUGCGUCUGUCCAGCGCUUGUCUACAGCACUGAACAUCCUGGAAAAGUAUGGCUGUAACUUGACAAAUCCCAACAGGCCAAAGUAUUGGAGGACAGUGAAACACAACAACCCAGUGUUCAGAGCCACUGUUGAUGGUAUUCAGGGAGGACGAGCAGUGCUCUGUCUUUAUGGUUACUCCAAUCAGCAGCCAGAUGGGCUCAGCUUCCCUGAUGAUGUCACGGAUCCAGAUGUGGGCCGAGUUGCUGCAGUAACACUUGAAGUGAUGAGCCUGAGGAUGGAACUAGAAAUGCUUAUUAAGGAGGCUCAUCCCCACCCUGAAUUCUAUGAGAGAAUCAUCCCUACACUGAGACACAAGGAUGUGGGUCUCAACACUGACGCUGUGGCCUACAAUUCCCCCUCCAUUUCAUGCCAUUCAGACAGUCAGACCAAGUCUCUAGCUUUCCCCCUGCACCAUCACUCCUCCAGAGAGGGCAGCCGUGGCCACUCUCUGUCCUCCAACCACCAAAGUCUCAGGUCCAUUCAGGUCUUUUCCACUUCCUCAAACAAACACCCAGAAAACUGCGCUACCUGUCAAAUAUUCCGUAUCUCUGCCCACUGCCUCACUUGCCUCCAGGGGCUCUGCUCAGAUUGUGACAGACUGUACCACUCCAACCCUGAGAGGGCCAACCACCGUCGGACAGCUGUCCCAUCAUCAUCAUCAUCAUCAUCCCAAAACAGGAAUAGUCACAGUUCUUCCACCUGGAAUUGCCUUCACUGCACUAAAGUCAACUCUGUCCAGGAUGUGCUGUGUGAGGAGUGUGAGCGCCCUCGCUUGGAAUCGAUCAGCUGUAAAGCAGAUGAAUCUCCCCCUGCCACCAUCACUGAGUGGCAGUGUAAGAGCUGUACCAUGGUGAAUGCAGCCAGCAGUAUUCUGUGUGAGGUGUGUGAAAGACCUCGUUUGGCCACACGACCUCCAGUGACCCCAUCACACCCACCCAUCACUCCCCCAAGACCACCAGCACCCGUACUGGGCAUGCCUGGUGACCCUGACAGCCAGUGGGUGUGUCAGUUCUGUACCUAUCUGAACUACUCUCCUGCUACAGUGUGUGAGAUGUGUGACCUGGCUCGUCCAGAGCCCGCACCCUUGCCUGUGAAGCUCCGGCCUCCCUCUCCAGUCAGACGGGUCCCCGCUCUGCCAAUCAAACCCAAAAAGCCCGCCCCUGAAGACUUGGACCCCUGCAGGCAGAGGCUGAUGAAGGAGGAGGGGCUGAAACUGAUUCAGCUGAUUAGAGAUGGGGAGAAGAAAGGAAUAAGUCCAGAGGAGGUGUACACAAGCAUGAGGGUAGCUGGGGACAGCAGCAUCCUGCCCUGCAAGUGGUUAAAGACAGAGCUUCCUGUGCUGUUAGACCAGAUCAGGGCGUUGGUGACAACAUCCUCCCUUCAGUCUGUUUCUGACAAGACCACAACAGAGUACACAAGCAUGUCAUGUCAAGCUCCUGCUGAGGAUCCUGGGAAAGAGGUGGACCCUGCAGAAACAGAGAGUGCGGUCCAGCUGUCCAUAGCAGAGGCCAAGCAGGCCUGGCUGACAGCAGGGGGCGACACUGAGAGAGCUGCUAGACAAGCUCUGAGAGACAGACUUGCCAAGGUAAAGGAGCUGUUUGUGCUGGGCUUCAGUGAUGAGGCUCACUGUCAUGAGGUAUUGAAGCAGAGUGGUGGUGAGGUGAGAGGGGCAUUGGCCCUGCUGCAGAGGCCCCUACUGGAACCCUUCCACAAGCGCAUUUGGAGUGACAAGCCUGAGCCUCCUGUAGACAUCCAUCACCCCGAUAGACAGCGCAUAUGUCGGAGGUUACUAGCGGUUUAUGAUCUUCCCAGCUGGGGUCGCUGCGAGCUAGCCCUCUCGCUCCUUCUGGAGCACAGCGCCCCUUACUCUCUGGAAGACGUAGUGCAGGCUGUGCGAGAGUCCCACGACAGGGAGUUUAUCAAGAGAGUGCUGGCUAAGGAGUGUCCCAUCUGCCUCUCUGUCUUCCCCCACAGCAAGAUGCAGUCCCUGACGUCAUGCCAGUGUUCAGUGUGUUGUGGUUGUUUCCAGCAGCACUUCACCAUUGCUGUAAGGGACAAACACAUCAAAGACAUGGUGUGUCCGGUCUGCUGGGAGCCUGACAUCAACGACCCUGAACACCUCAACAGCUACUUCUCCACCCUGGACAUCCAGCUGCGAGAGUGUCUGGAACCAGAAGUCUACGAGCUAUUCCAUAAGAAGCUGACCGAGCAGGCUCUAAUCAAGGAUCCCAAGUUUCUCUGGUGCUGUCAUUGUUCAUAUGGGUUCAUCUAUGAUGGAGACCAGCUGAAGGUCACCUGUUUUCAAUGUCGCAACAGUUUCUGUGCUCAGUGUAAGAAGCCUUGGGAGUCUCAGCAUGCAGGUCUGUCCUGUGAACAAUACCAGUCAUGGAAGAGGGAGAAUGAUCCAGAGUACCAGAGACAGGGCCUGGCUGGAUAUCUCAGAGACAACGGCAUUACUUGUCCUAACUGUCGCUUUCAGUACGCACUGUCUAAAGGAGGCUGCAUGCAUUUCUGCUGCUCACAGUGUCGUUACCAGUUCUGCAGCGGCUGCAACAACCCUUUCCACACUACCUGUGCAGUGGACGAGUGCAGUGUGUCUGGAUUACAUGCCCAUCAUCCCAGAGAUUGUCUCUUCUACCUGAGAGACUGGGAACCUUCCAGGCUGCAGGCUUUACUGCAGAAUAAUGGAGUGGCCUUCAACACUGAGCCCUCUCCUGGAACACAGACAGGUUUGUGUGGCGUGAUAGAGCAGAAGGAUGAGGGAGGGCAGCAGCCAGAUUCAGCCUGUGGAGCUCAGACCCAACCUCGACACGCCGGACUCUGCGAGAAGCAUUAUCGGGAGUACUUGGUCAGCCUGAUCAACAGCCACUCCAUCGACCCCGCCCCCCUCUACAGCUCCAAUGAGCUGAUGCUGGCCUGCAGGAGGUACAAGGUUGAUGAUGCCCGCAGGGACGGAGAGGACAGCUUCACCUACUACAGCAGACUGCUUGAAAAACUGAUGGAUGAAGUACCACUUGGCGACAAGGUGCCCCGCAAGAAAUAAUGAACGCCUCGGCUUAUGUUCCUAUGAUUAUGUAAAUACAGGAGAGUGUCGUCUCAGAAGCUCUUCCUGAGUGCUUUUAAUUAAUUUUAACAGUGAGAUAUUCCUCAUAGAGUCACUGUCCUAAAUGAGAUAUCUUCUGACUGGAACAUAUGACAGCAGCGUUGACAAAAUAAUUACUAGCACAAAAGGAAACUCCUGAAGUUUGCCGACGACAGAACAGUCAUCUGCCUCAUCUGGGACAAUGAUGAGUCUGGAUACAGACAGGAGGUUGAACAGCUGCUCCUCUGGUGCGGCCAGAAAACCGGGAGCUGCUCAAAACUGGAGCUAAUAGCCCCACAUCGCUGCCCCCAUCACCAUUCUCAACAGCACUGUGUCUGAAGUGGAACCCAACACAGACACCUUAAUCAAAAAGGCCUAGCAGAAGAUCGGGUGUAUUAUAUAUUGACAUGUAUACAUGCAUUUACUGUACAUAUCCACCUACAUCAUGUACAAUAAGCAAGCGUUAAAUUUAUCAUUCAAUAUUUAUUCCAGUGUAUUCACACAUAGCACUUUUGUAUUCUUGUCUACAAUUUACAAAACAGUCUGACUUGUAUAAAGACAUUGUUUGUUGUUGUUCAUUGUAUUGUUUAUGCACUUUAUAUAUAUUCAUGUUUUUUUACCUACAUUUAUGUACAUAAUAGUUAAAAUGCUUGUGUUUACCUUUGUCCAGCUUUUUACAUGCACUUUUCCAGUUUUCAAUACAGGCUUAAGUCUGCCUAUCAUUACUGAUCAACUUUGAAAAUUACUGAGAUAGUAUCUAAUAUUUUUUUCAGAUUCCUUAAAAUUUGCCCUAAUUUUCCACUUACAAACCUUUUCUUUGAAUCUGCAUGCUUUUGCAAGGCAAGUGCACGCUUUAGAUUAAACUGCUCAUGUACACAGCGAAGAAACGGUACAAAACAAAAAUAAGACUAGUUUUUUGGUUUUGCUCUUGUUUAUUGGAUUACCCGUUUUGAGGCGAAUACAGUAAUUUUCUGGAGAACAACAGGAGAGGGGCAGGGAAAUCAAGCAUGGGACUCAUAUUUCAUUCAUUUUAUUUAUCAAAAUCAGUCGAACAUAUCAUCAGCAUGGAGAAAAUAUAAUAUAACCCAGUAAGCUGACGCUAUGGAACAGGCCCCAGGUCUUGAAUUACAUUGUCAUACCAUGCCAUCAUGUAUUUAUUAUUGCACGUUAAAUGAAAUACUGUAAUUGUGUAUGUUUAAACUUGGCAUGUGAGUAAUGUAUCAGAAUCAGUUUACAGAUAUUAACAGUAUUUAGGGCUUUGCAGAUUAAGUCUGCCGUCUUAGAAGGCAGAGUUGCAAAAUAUUUUAUUGGGUGCUGUGCAAGUGUUAUUAAUAUGCAACAGUGUGCCCAACUUGAUGAUUGUGAACUUGUGUAUAACAGGUUUGUAACUUGCUGAUGAACAAAGUGCUUUAAAUAACUGCUUUGUUUCAUAAAAGUGCCAAAGUAAAGUGCAUGCUGUUGUAGUCAGGUUUCAGCACAAAGGUUAUUGAAAGGCCAUGCAUUGUAUUCGUUGCCACUGAAGAGAAAUAAAGUCCCUGU